AGGGUUUAAUGUGUUAAUAAUCACCUAACCUAGACCUUGAAUCUACACGCGCUAACCUUCUAAAUCAUUGACCCAUAACCAAUAACCCUUCUAAAGACACAAUGUGAUUUAUUCCCAUUUCUUUGCAUGUCAAAGUGAAUAAAUUCAACCAAGCGCGGGUAAACGACGGGAGUAACUAUGACUAUCUUAAGGUAGCUAGAUGCCUCGUCAUCUAAUUAUUGACACGCAUGAAUGGAUCAUUAACAAUAUUCCUCACUGUCCCUAGAUACUAUAUUCUAGAGAAACCACAUCCAAGGGAAUGGGCUUGGCAGAAUUAGUGGGGAAAGAAGACGCUCAUGUUGAGCUUGACUCUAGUCCUAACCCAUUCAUGGUUUGGGAAAAUUAGGGCAUAGU
rfam:Picea glauca, whole genome shotgun sequence.